rnacentral:rRNA from 1 species
CAGUCGCCACGGUAAUACGUAGGUGGCGAGCGUUGUCCGGAAUCAUUGGGCGUAAAGGGAGCGCAGGCGGGCAUGUAAGUCUUUCUUAAAAGUUCGGGGCUCAACCCCGUGAUGGGAAAGAAACUACAUGUCUUGAGUACAGGAGAGGAAAGCGGAAUUCCCAGUGUAGCGGUGAAAUGCGUAGAUAUUGGGAGGAACACCAGUGGCGAAGGCGGCUUUCUGGACUGCAACUGACGCUGAGGCUCGAAAGCCAGGGGAGCGAACGGGAUUAGAUACCCGUGUAGUCCCUGUCUCUUAUACA